CAAAUGCAUAAAUAACAUGAUUUAUAUAAGUGGCUAUUUACAUAAUUUGCCAACGACAGUGUCUGAUGCUAGUCCUGCGUAUUCUUGAAACAAACAUCAAUAAUGAAUUAACACUUUACAAUUUAAAUAAUCAGAAAUAAAUAUUACAAGGUUAUGAUUAAUUCUUUUACUACUUCGAAUCUAUUGAGAUCUGCCCAAUUUUUAUAUCGUCAGCACCAUUUCUUUUGAAAUGAAGAUAUUCUCAAGCCAACAACACACACUCAUACAUUUUAAAUAGCCGAGGAACUUUACUGUCUUAAUAUUUUUUUAAAAUGAUCCUCACAACAUGAUUAAAUCAACAUUCAUUUCAAUGCAUCAGUAACCUAUUUCAAAUACAAGGGUGGAUAAAAUACGUUUAAACUAGGUGAUAUAGAACAUGCCAAUCACACAGACAUUGAACGGAAAUUUAAACUCAAAACGUCAUGCUUGAACAUGCAAAUUUCAUAGCAGACAAUCAAAAAUCAAACAUUUAGAUUUAAACCCUUUAAGAAUACACUACAGAUAUUUCAAUCACUGGACCUAAAGAGAAUAGCUUGAAGCAAUUCCGACACAGAAACAACAGCGAGCAAAGCGAGAUUCCCCAGCUUCCAUGUACGAAAAUCAUUCUCAUGUUCUUUAUAAAACUCAAACAAAACAUGGAUUAAAAGUAACAGGCCAACAUCCAGUUAAAAAAAACAAGUAACAGAAAACCAUAAGAAAAGAAAACAAAUGAAACUCAAAUAGCAAUCUUCCUUUAUAGCAAUUAUAGAAUCAACAAAUACACUGUUUUCUUGACUCCAAAAUUCCAGCGAGAUUCAACAACAGUAUCGAGUAGAACUUGCAAGCCAAAUCAAAAUUUCGAAACCCCACUUCGGACAAAAUCGACAGAGUGCAGAAAAUUCAAAACUCCACCCCAAUCUUCAACUUGAGGAUUUAAACCAAACUUCCUUUCUAAAGAAAGAACAGAAAUCAAGAGAAAAAGAAAACAAUGUUAGAAGAGAUCUGUUUCAGCAAUCUUUUUUUUUUGUUUUUUGAUUUUUUUCUCUUAAAACAAAACAAAGCUUGAAUGAAAACUAAACUCAAGCCAUAUAUUUUUUUUGUGUAUCUUUUCAGAAAAAAAAAAUGACAAAGAAGACUGAAGAAGAUAAAGGAAAAGAAAACUUGAAGGAAAGUGACGACUAAAAACCUCAUAUAUAUAGCCUUCAAAAACUUUCAAAAUCUGCCCAAUUUUGAAAAAAUCUUCAGGAUUUUUGAACAAUUUUGGGACAAAUGGAGGGCGUGGAUUGAUUCACAUCUAUCUACGGUUCCCAUUCAUCUAACAAUUGUCCUUUUUGUACAGAAAUUCAUAUGAUUUAGGAGAGAAUAUUCGAAUUCCUUCUGACAAAAACCAUUAGGAAUCAAAUAACGUGGAGGGAGGGACCAUUUUGAGUGAACUCGGGUGAGCUCUAGGCGAGUUGGGGUCGGGCUCAGUGAAGAAGAUGAACAGUAGUGCCGGAUUCCCUGAUUCUCUAGGGUUCCUGAU
rnacentral:lncRNA from 1 species